CUGGGAUAACUUCGGGAAACCGGAGCUAAUACCGGAUAAUAUAUUGAACCGCAUGGUUCAAAUAGUGAAAGACGGUUUUGCUGUCACUUAUAGAUGGAUCCGCGCUGCAUUAGCUAGUUGGUAAGGUAACGGCUUACCAAGGCAACGAUGCGUAGCCUACCUGAGAGGGUGAUCGGCCACACUGGAACUGAGACACGGUCCAGACUCCUACGGGAGGCAGCAGCA
rnacentral:rRNA from 1 species